UACGUAGGGUGCUAGCGUUGUCCGGAAUCAUUGGGCGUAAAGCGCGUGUAGGCGGUUCGGUAAGUCCGCUGUGAAAGUCGGGGGCUCAACCCUCGAAAGCCGGUGGAUACUGUCGGGCUAGAGUACGGAAGAGGCGAGUGGAAUUCCUGGUGUAGCGGUGAAAUGCGCAGAUAUCAGGAGGAACACCAAUGGCGAAGGCAGCUCGCUGGGACGUUACUGACGCUGAGACGCGAAAGCGUGGGGAGCAAACAGG
rnacentral:rRNA from 1 species